GCAGCCCUGCCUGGGAGCCGAGCCCGGCAGCGGGGCAUGUCCCAGGGCGAGUUCGCAAAGACUGCCGCUCUUCUCCGUCCCGCUCUCCUGCUGCCUUUAGGGCCUUAGGCUCUCUGCGUUAAGAAAUGGCCGAGGAGUCCAGCAAAGCCGUUAAGUACUACACCCUGGAAGAAAUCCAGAAGCACAACCACAGCAAGAGCACCUGGCUGAUCAUACACUACAAAGUGUACGAUUUGACCAAAUUUUUGGAGGAGCAUCCUGGUGGGGAGGAAGUCUUAAGGGAACAAGCUGGAGGUGAUGCUACUGAAAACUUUGAGGAUGUUGGACACUCUACAGAUGCUCGAGAAUUGUCCAAAACAUUUAUCAUUGGAGAGCUGCACCCAGAUGACAGAUCAAAGAUAACCAAGCCUGCGGUGUCUGUCGAUGUCUUCUUCAUCUCCACAUCUCUGGGACAUAGUAAGUGUUCAAUAAAUAUUUCCUGGUUGAAUUUAAUGCUAAUUAAAUAACACUUUGAUGCAUUUUUCCUUAGGAAAAGAAAAUAAUUCCAGUAAUGUUCAUUUUAUGCCCAGGUUCACCCGCCCUUCUCUCUGAACUGAUCAGCUCAUUUGUAUGACCUAGUACCUUCUUUGAGGCUCCCUUUUGGAUUGCUGAAAUUCUGGGGGGCUUGACGUCUUUUGCUUUUUCUUCAAGGGAAAAAGUGUAGUUUCUCCUGUUAGGUGUUCAGUAUGUUAUCUUGGCACAUGUUGUUCAGCUAUAGUAAAAUGAGGAUUUGAUAAGGCUUAUCACCUGAACUUAGAACUGACAUAGAUCCAACUGUGUCCUGAACCGUGAUUCCUGCCAGCAGAAAGCACCAGUCAGAGCUAAGGUCUCCUACAUAAUCGCUUUACUCCCGAGAGACACACUCUUUCCUCCUGUAGAACAUACAUGGCUUUGCUUACUGCAGAGCAGAACUGGGAGAUUGCGGGGCUGGAACUUGCUGGUUUUCAAGGCCAGAAGCAAACACAUGGACACUUUUCUGGAUUUAUCUCUCUUGUGCUUCUAGCUUACCAGAAGAAGAGAAUUCCUUGUUGUGUCUGUAUAACUAUCCAUCUGUUUCCAGGCUGAUAAACGUACACUGUGGUCUGAAUUUUUGAAAUGUUGUCUGCUUAAACUGUUUGAAUUGUGAAACAAGAUGCACCAAAGAGUAUUAGCUUGAACCUGCCAAAGGGAAACAGAUUGAGUUGCCACGUUAAGGUAUUUGUAUUAAUAAAUACAGAGACAGUGCAGUUUUAAGUGAGCAAAUCCAGAUCUAUCAAUUUGACAUGGAGGAUAUCAGUAAUGGCAGUACCUACUGAUAGGUUUCUGUGGUUGCUAUCUUAGAAGCUUUGCUACAUAAGUGAGCUGAUUUGAUUCUCAAGGUAUCAUAGGGGAGCUCCUGGACCUACCAGAGAAAGUGUAAAGAAUGAAAGUCAACCUUGUUCCAAGCUUUGACUUUGUCAAGGUCACACACAGCAGGACCACUGUUGUGGUUUAACCACCCAUUUAAGGAGUAGUGCUUGCGAGUCUCUCAGGCCUCUGUAAGCUCUGACCUUUGCAUAAAAGCAUCGCUCCAUCAGCAGUAUUUUUAGGGAAGCCUUCCAGUGAAGGAAUGGGCUUAGUCAGAUGAACUUAUAAAUGAUUUGCAUGGGCUUUGCAUGAGAGCUUAUCACGUGUUGAUUUCAUUGCUCACCUUUUCCUGCCUGAAGCUGAACCCCACAAGUUCACUGUGUGAACAGGAGGCACAGCCUGUAAUAAAGACCGAAGUCUUUCCCCUGUCUUCCUUGAUAGAUUUGUCAGUUGCAUACCAAAACCCAACUGGGGCCCAGUGCUGAGUGGUAAUUCAAACUUGUCUUAACGCUGAAGCAUCCCUGGGUUAUUAUCUAACAGAUAAUAAGCAAUCAAAAAAUGCGUAUUGUCUUUUACAGUGCACCUCUUUAGAGGAUCUUUGUUGUUGCUGGUGGUGACCACACCCUAGUAGUGCAUUCCACUCAUGAUACCAACGAAGGUGGAGGAAGGCAGGCCAGCGAGUUUCCAUGCAGAGUUGUUAGCACGUUUGGUGCAAUGCAUGUGCUGGGUGUGACAAAAUAACCUCUGUUCACUGUUUCAGGCUUAGCUUUCUAGUGUGCCGAUAACACUUCACCUUAAAUGGACUGUUGCAUUUGUUUCAGAACUGAUUAUGUCUUUAAAUGUCUCUAAUAGCUAAAUAAUAUUUUCACACUGUCCAGUUACCUCUUGUAAUCCUUGUUCAUUUUAUUUGCCUAUACAAAAUGUGAAAACUAAUCGUGCAGUAGUUAUGAAUACUUUUGUAGUCUCUGAGAUUUAAUGUUGCUUCAAAAGGUAAUGACUGUGAAGUUUUCUUUUUGAAUGACUGUGUUUUUCCCUCCUCCUGUGUCAGGAAUCUUAAAGGCCAUGUCUCCAGGUUGGUGGGUGUCAUAACUGCUUUGCCUGAUUUUCCCCUGGAAGCUUUCAGCCUUUUUAUGGGAAUGUCUUUAACGCGCUUUGCUGUGUGUAGCAUUGCCUUGCUGCAGAUCAUUGAGCAUUUGCUAAUGCUUUUUUACUUUGUGCUUUGGGAAACUACAGCUGCAUUAUUUCCGUCUACCUUCCUGUGAGGCACUAAUGCUUUUGCUGGUGUGGAGCUUCGAGAGUGCUUCUUAACAACUUUUCAAUCCCAAAAAAGCUUACAUCCUACUUGGCCUUGGUUAUCCCAUUGUUUGGGGCGGACUGUCUUCCCAGAGCCAUCUGCAGUUCAUUUUCAUGGUACUGAUAAGAAGGACCUCUCUCAAAAGGUGUUGGAAGGUAAACCAGGAGAUAGCCGUGAAAGCCCCUGGCAUUUGAGGAUUUCUUGGUGGGUGACGGUGUGAUGUCAGCCUGUGAGGCCGCCGGUUUUUGUUUUAAAAAAUAAACCCUGCCAGAGUUAAAGUAAGACCAGGAAAGGUGGUCCAGACUGUUACAAUUUAUGCCACUUCUUUUUUUUGUUUUUUUUUGGUUGACACAUUUUUUAAUAUAAUCUGGGUACACUUUUACUUCUCUGAGAUUUGAUGAAAUAACUGAUGUUUUAUUGAACAUUUCAUUCCUGCUUUUGAAGAAUGAAACUGGUCUCCUUAAAGAUGAUGAUCCAUUUUUUGUAUUUAUAAAUGAUACCUGUGUUCAGUUUCUACAUUAAGCAUUUAUGUCUGUCAUAAAUUUAUUAUUUAUGCAUUAAGCAUAAAUGUCUGUCAUGUGCAGAAUUAGGUAUCCUAUUAAUUUUUAACAUUUUCUUGCAAAUUUUCAGGUUAUGUUCGUAAGUAAUUUAAAUAGAGACCCUUCUUAAAAAUUUUUUCUUCUGAAAAAAUGGUGAGUUUGGGUAUAUAAGUGAAGCUUAUGAUGUCAUUUUUCCUUCAGACUUUUUUUUUUGAAGAAUGCAUUGAAUAAGAAGAAUGAAUUGAAUAAACUGUUGUGGUCUUGUUUUAAAGCAGAUUGAAUUGAAUGAAGAGUCAGUUCAUUUGUCAAUUGAAAUGAACCGUCAGUUGAAAUAAAGCAGUCAAUUGAAUGAACGUUCAGAUGUUCCCUUUAACUUACCUUUUCUUGUGUUUCAGGAAAGUAUUAUUACUACCGUUGAUUCUAAUUCCAGCUGGUGGACCAACUGGCUGAUCCCAGCUAUCUCGGCACUGGUUGUAGCCCUGAUGUAUCACCUCUACACUUCGGAAAACUAAACGCAUUCUCAGAAGCCAAUGGAAGAAAAGAC